CCCUCGAGAGUGGGAAGGUUUAACCUUUGAGCUUGCUUCUCUUACCAGUAGUUUCCUUGAAGUUGUCUUCAAUUUAGUUCGACUCUCUCAAAUGGCGUCUGGUUGCUAUAGAUUCAUCAGUCGAGCAUCCCUCUCGUCCAUCAAAUCCGCCAUCAAAUCCAACCGUUCGAAGCCUUCUCUCUCCGGAUCUACUUCCUCUCAUCGGUUCCCUCUCCCUUUCGAAUCGUCUCUGUCUCCUCUUCGCCGAUUCUGCCUCACCAGGUCUCCAUCUGAACUCGGAUGCGUACAGUCACUGUUGCCACUGCACAGUGCAGUUGCAGCUGCGAGGUUGACAUCAUGCCUGAGUACAACUUCGAGGAGUUGCCGAGCACUUUCACAGGGUACACUCUGCUGCACCUCUCCCGGCCUCUAAUAAUAGUGUCUGUUUUUGCGUGCACAUAAUUGCAAUACCCUUGAAAGAAUUAAACUGGGAAUUCAAAGUGACAGGCCACUGCAUCUUUGUCAAAUGGAAUUGAUGGUACGUGAGACUGUGUGCUGUUGUUGGAGAGCUUGGUCUGUCAGUUCCAAGGUGACUUUUUGCCAGACCACCAUGAAGAAUGAUACUCCUGAGGUGAUUGAAGCAGCAGGAUCUUCUACUUACUUUUUCUGGUGGUUCUUUUCAUUUUUAUAUAUGUUCUGAGUGAACCGUUGGAAGUAUUGAAAAUGAUAUUGACUCCUCCAAAUCUAGAGGAAAUUAUUUAUGAAAAUAAGAAUCAAAUGGUCUUGUUUGAUUUGUACUUUUCACUUUUAUUGGCUUUGGAGACAUGUAACAGCGUCUGAGUUCGGACCUUAAACUCCACCGUUCGAGAUGUCUCCCAUGGAAUCAAUUAGGCUUCUUCAGCAGUUGAUCGUAUGUACCUAAUUGACCAAAAACUGUACAAUUCUCUCUUAGUCCCCACACGAAA